rnacentral:rRNA from 1 species
GACGAACGCUGGCGGCGUGCCUAAUACAUGCAAGUAGGACGCAGUUGCGAACGGGUGAGUAACGCGUAGGUAACUACCUAUUAGAGGGGGAUAACUAUUGGAAACGAUAGCUAAUACCGCAUACUAGUUGAUGGACCUGCGUUGUAUUAGCUAGUAGGUAGGGUAAUGGCCUACCUCGGCAACGAACAAUAGCCGACCUGGGAGGGUGGACGGGCACACUGGGAAUGGGACAAGGCCCAGACCCCUACGGGGAGCCAGAGUAGGUAAUCUUCGGAAAUGGGGGGAACCCUGACCGGGCAAAGGCGCGUUAGUGGAGAAGGUUUUCGGAUCGUAAAGCUCUGUUGUUAAGGAAGCGGUACUUAACCAGAAAGGGACGGCUAACUACGUGCCAGCAGCCGCGGUAAUAC